UUUAAUCGUGUGUCCAGAUGGUACAUUGACAGUUUAGCAAGGAAAUUUUCAUUUUUUAAAGUGAAUUGUACGCCUGCGGAAUAAUUAUUUUGUAUUCAUAAAAGCUAGGGGAUUUAAGAGAUAAAAUGGAAGGAAAAUUCGUAAUGUUGAUUCUGAUAAUAGGAAUUUUGACAGUGUCGUCUGUUUACAAUUUCGGCGUUGAUGCAUAUACGUGUUUGCCAGAAGAUCCAGGUUGUGCCAACCAGGCGCCAUGUGUUGCGGUUACUCUGUGCGGAGGUUGCAAUCCGAACGAUAUUUGUUGCAAUGAGUAAAUCCUUGAAAAAGACCUUCUUUCAACAGACGAGCUGCAUAAACUUCUACUUUAAAUUUAGAGAAUCAACGAUUUGAAUUUUGAAAUUGACAUAUUUAUGAUGCGAUAAAAGAAUAUAUUAAACAGCUAAUUAUA